rfam:Strongylocentrotus purpuratus Contig115597_fixed, whole genome shotgun sequence.
UCAACAGUCCUUUUCAGGACCACCCAUAUGGUAAAAUAGCAAAUUU